GGUCCCGAUGCCACCACGACCCCCAUAUUGGGUCACACCCAACGGACCAGGGAUCCCCAAUUCUACAAACAGGGUCCUCUGGCACUGGGAGUCUCUGGGAUGUGCCCAUGUGCAGGGGAUGGGCUCUGGUCACACCAAGAGGUGACCCAUGGAGCAGAGCCCAUCCAGAGCCCUGGGGAAACUGCAGGUGCCAGGAUCUCAGCCGGCAAGAGCAGCUUGGGAAUGGAGCCCCAGGCAGAAAGGAGCUCCCAAACUCCUCCUCCUUGAAGCCAGUGGCCAUCCAAGGCUGGGGCCCAGCCAUGGCCCAGCCCCACUGCACAGGGGUGGCCAUUAGCCAGACCUGUUCUGGCCAGCCCCAACUGGCAGCCAGGACCUGACGGUCCCCCUUGCCCCCUUGCCUUUGAUUCUGGCAGCUUUAGAGCUGCUGCAGAGGUCUGAGAGAACCAGAAAACUGCUGCAAAUCCCACACCAAUCUGUUCAACAACCUGACCUGGACCCUCCUCCUCCUUCCUGCCUUGCCGUGGAUGGGCAGUGGCCAGAUGCCCUGCACCCACCACAGCUGCUCUCUCACUGCCCUCCCCCCCUGGAUGCAAAGAGAAAAUUGAACAAAGUGUUCCUGGGUUGAGACAAGGACCAGCAGAGAUCACUCAUCAAAUCCUGUCACAGGCAAAACAGCCUUGGAAUUAGAGAUAUUAAAUGAAUUUAUUGCUGACAAAAUCAGAGCAGGAUAAGGAGAAGUCAA